rnacentral:lncRNA from 1 species
CAAUAAUUCUUUCUAGAUACGACGCAGCAACUUUGAUAGGUAUUUGAUAAAAAAAAUAAUAACAAAUCCCGACAAAAAAAUAUUGAGCCGAUGAUUCUGAAAUUAAAAACUCUUUACAAUAUUACAAUUUUUUGAAAUGUGAGUAUUAAAAUUAUUCUUUACCUGUAGUCGUUAAGACGAUGUCACAGUCACAUUUGCCAUAUCGAUCUUGCUAACGGGCAACCUGUGUGUUCAGACUUCCAUUGGUAUUGGCUCUAAUAAGCUUAAAAUAACAAUAUUAUUUUACUUAAUUAACUAUAUUUACAGACAGUGAUUUUUUGAUAUCAAAUUCUCAGACAAUCUAUUCUUCCUACCAAUAGUAGUAGCUCAUAAUAGGUACUUGAGUGAUCGUGCAUUUUUUGUAAUUUUAUUUUACUUUUAAUUUAUGAAGUCCUAUUAAAAUUUUUAAUAAAUAACAUAUAUUUUAAUUUUUUACAGAUAUAAGUAACUAAUAACCAUUAUAGUAAAUCAAGUUACAAAAACUGUAUUCAAAUUAUAAAACAAUUACCUAUAGUAAAAAUAACCCUUAAAUAUUAAACAUUAAAAUUAACAGAAAAAUUAUUGCAAUCAGUAGUUUCAAAAUAUAUUUUUUUAAUUGUACACAUAAAUAUCUGUACAUCUACAUAAUCUGUAGUCAUAAAAUAACCUAAUUUUAUGAUUUUUAAUUUGACUGCUUUUAAAUUGGUUUGGUAGGUCGUGGUUACACAAACAUACUAAGUGAAAAUCAAUUUACCUAUAAUAGUUAGAAAUAUUAUUUUCAUCUCUUAAGUAUAGGUAUUUAAAUUAGUAGUUAUACUUAAAAAUAUAAAUAUAUUUCAAAAACUAGAUAGGCAUAUUAUUAGUUGAUUAUUAUUGAAAUUAUAUUAAAUUUAGUACCUAGGUAAGAUACUUAGGUAUCUUAGGUAUUAAGAUAUUAGGUAUAAUCUUGAAUGUGAGCAGUAGUUACUCAUUAGUUAAAUGAAAUUUAACUUGAUUUUUGAGGAUUAUUUGCAUUAAAUCAACUAUUUCAAUUUUAAAUAUGGUUUAAAAUUAACACUCAUUUAAUUUUAGGCAUGAUAUGUGAUGUCUGGACUAAAUCAUGUGCAAAGAGUUCGUUUAUUGUACAAAUCCAUUUUAAGACUACACCGUGGACUACCCAAAGAACUACAGGAACUAGGUCAAACAUAUGUUAGAGAUGAAUUUCGUAGACAUAAAAAUUGUAAUCCUAAAGAAGCUCAAAUAUUUAUGCAAGAAUGGAGUGUAAGUAAAAAUAUUUCUACUACCUACAUUAAGAUAAUUUAGUUAAUUAUAUUAUAUUUUUCUUUAGAAAUAUACACUAACAUUAUCUGAGCAACUUCUAAAGGAUGCCAAGUCAAAUAUUGGUUUUGGUAAAAACUUAGAUACACACGAAGGUAUAUUAGAUGCUUUUACAGAUGAUCAACUUAUACAACUUUAUAAUAUGCUGAAGGAAACAACUGGAAUCCAAGAUGAAACUGUUGAAUCUGAACUUUCUUCUAAAAAAUAAGACUGUAUUUAAAAAUACAUACAAUUUGUUAUUACCUAGUUAGUUUUAAAUAGAAUAAUAUUGUUGCCAUUUAUAAAUUAUUUAAGUUAGUUACAGUUACCACUCUGUUAAAUUAUAUUGGUUUUUAUUUGGCCCCCAUAUAUUUUAUCAUGCUAGUUUUAAAUUCUAUCUACUUAGAUUUUUUAGAUUAUAGUGUUUAAAUGAAUGGAUUGUAAUAAUAUUGGAAAUUCAAUUAUACUAAAUGUUUUUUAAAUAGGCAUUACUGUUUAAAUUUAUUUAAUAUUCAACAAAUAUAUAUUUAUAUUUAUAAAUUAUAUGUUAGAAAUUAAUGCAAUGUAUAAAAAAUAAAUAUAUUUUUUAUUUAGUGAUUUUCGUAAUAUUAUGGGAUAGUAAUUACUAAAUAUUAACAGGCAUAAAUUUGCGCAGCUGACCAACUGCGACCAAUUAUAGAGCUAAUGGACUCAGCCAAGGGAGCAUGACGUCGCUUCGUGAUUCAUUUGGAUGUGCCAAGCAAUGCAUUCUUAUAUGGAAUGAAGUAUAGUUGGAUGGUAUUUAAAAAUCUGAAAAAAUACUUAAGUUUAAAUUAAAAUUUUUUUUAAUAUGUUAAUUGUUUUCACAUUUUAAAUAGAUAUGUAUUGUUCAUGAAUGAACUAGUUCAGUGCAUGAUUGGUUUCUGAAUGGUCACUCACUGGAUGAACCAAAAUAUGAAACGAACUAAGAAAGAUUGAACCACUGAAUGAAUACAUGAUAAUAUGUCAACACAGUCUGUAAGAAUAUAUUAGUUCAUAUUUAUUCCCAUUCACUCGUUCAGGAUGCACUAAACAUUUUAAACAAAUGUUACAAAUACGAACAAACAACAAAUGCUAUGCAUACAUUCAAAUGACAGUUGUACUUCUACCAGUAACCGGUCAAUAGAUUUCUUCGGUCAUUUCUUCAGUAGACACAUAAUAUCUUCAUGUAUCGCUCAGUAAACUAGAACUAUUAACUGAACAGAGAGAACAAAUUAAUUCAUUCCCUUAAAUAACUUUAAUACAUGCCUAAUUUUAAAUACUUGUAUAUCAGUAUUCUACACCAAAGUUGGUAAAGUCAACAAAUACCCUAUAUAAAAUAUAUAUAUAUAUUUGUUGAAUAGACAAUAAUUCGUUCAACAUGUAUUAUAAUUAAUAAUUAUACUAAUAUUAAACUUCCAUUGUAAACUUUUUUUUAAUGCUAUAUUAGACUCAUCUGGCAAUGCUGUGAUGGGAAUAGAUUUAGUUUAUUACCAAAUUAAUUAAUGAUUAUAAAAACAUUUAAUUUGUGAAUAGUCUGCUAGUGUUUCUCUAAAUAUUUAAUUAAUUAUGUUUUGAUAAACAUCAAUAAAAUUAUAAUGAUGAUCAAUUAGUUGAACUAAUAAAAUUGUAUUGGUCAUUAAUAUUCUAAAAUUAUUUUCGACAUGAUGAUUAACAUGCUAGUUAUUUUUUAAUGAAUUCAAACAGAUAUUCAUUUAAUCAAAUUUAUAACUAAGAACAAUGAUGGUUAAACAACAUUUAAGUAAAUCUAUUGGGUUAUUAUUUUAACAUUGUAAAUUACUAUAUUAACUAUGGUUUAUUUUAUAAUUAAUCAGAUAGCAUAAAACAUAGAUUAGAUUGGAUGAGAUAUUAACGAACAACAUUUAUAACUAUGUAUUAUUUAUUUCGGUGUUUUACGAAUUGCGUGAGGAAAUUAUAAUAUAGGUCGAGUUGCGUGCUCGGGUUUUUAGAGACUCAGUCUAGUUGCAUGCAAAUUUUUUUUUUUAAAUUUUAAAUUUUGUGUAAUACUUAUCUCCUAGAAAUACCCUUUAUUUUGAUUUUACGAUUUACAAUUUAAAAAUUUAAAAAUGUAUGCUUUGUACUAGAUCCAGUGAUUGAAUUUUUAAAUAAAUAAGAUUUGCACAUUCUUUUAGUGCAUGCCCAUUUCUCAAUAAUAUUUAAAAAUUUACUGUAACAAAAAAACCACGCACACAACUCAGUUGUUAAUUAACGUCACUAUUUUUGUGUCACGCAAUUCAGAUGAAGCCAUUUAUUUAUCAUUCUCAAUUCAUCAAUUGGUUUUUAUUUUCAUAUAAUAUAUUUAUACAAUUAAAAGUAUACAUAUUUUGAUUAAUUAAGAAUAUUAAUAUCUACACCAAUAAACUAUAUAUUUUUUAUUGUAACUAUUGUAUUUAUUAAUUAUUAUUAAUAUUGUACAAAAGUAAAGUUAAUUUUUACUGGUAAAUAUUUCAAAUCUUUUCCAUUUAUCUAAGUACCUGUAACAUUGAUUAUAUUUAAUCGAUUCAUGUAAAAUAAUAAAUUAUUUUUCUUAAGUUAUUUUAGAUUUUACAACAUUCACAUUUCUAAAAUAAAUUAAGAUAUAUUAAUCUUCAUAUACAUACACAUAAAUAAUUAUUAUAUGUAUUACUGUAAUUUUCUGAGAAAAUUAAAUAUUUUAUGUCACAAAAC